UGACUUGUGGAUCGGAGUGAAAGGCUAAUCAAGCUCGGAGAUAGCUGGUUCUCCUCGAAAGCUAUUUAGGUAGCGCCUCACGUAUCACUCCAGGGGGUAGAGCACUGUUUCGGCUAGGGGGUCAUCCCGACUUACCAAACCGAUGCAAACUCCGAAUACCUGGAAGUGUCAGCGUGGGAGACACACGGCGGGUGCUAACGUC
rnacentral:rRNA from 1 species